AUAAUGUUAAGAAAUGCAUCGGGUCAAGAAAAAGAAAUGAAAAACAGAGAGAUUUUUAUCUGAUGACGUCACAAUUACGUCAUAAUAUGUACUGUUUUCACAAAAACGAUGAAAAAAUGCAGAAUUUAUGCAGUUUUCUAUCUUUAUUUCCGUUGUGGAAACAUCCUGCGCAGCCAAGAAACAACAAAAUAAUUUAACAGAAGCUUUAUUAUAG
rnacentral:lncRNA from 1 species